UCCAAAAGCAUUCGUGCUUGCACGAUAAGGCUUUUGGACUAGUAACCUGCCAAAUAUGAGGAAGUAGCGAUUUACUUUGUAAAUCAGCGGAUUCCGAAUAUUUGUAGGAUUGCGAGAGUUGCAUAGCAACGGAGCAAUCGGAGGA
rnacentral:sRNA from 1 species